UCGAGCGUUCAUCCGAGAUUGUCUAAAUUGAUUCAACGGCAUUGGGGCAAAAACCUACAUAUGCGCCCGUUUUCUCCAAGAUCACUGGGGAACUGGAAGAUAUAUUGCGGCCUAUUCAGGUAUGUUUGCUGGAAUUUGUUGGCCACAAGGCUCAUGAGAAGAUGGAAUCUGACAAAUAAAUUGAAGUAUUCUUCUGGGUUUUUUUUUUGCCUGCAGGCCUCCUCCAGCUCCAAAGGAGUAUGGCCACAUUCCAACCAAAGAUAAUUAAAUCGCGUCGGCAGAACACCCUCUAUUUUCACAUUGUCGCGUUGAAUAAUCGUGUGUAUGUCGACUGUGCCCCCUGUAUGUAUGUCAUGCAUAUUGAAUUUUGUGCUCGGUCUCCUAAAAUACAUGUCAUGUGGUUGUCGCAUGCUCGUGCAACAUAACCUAGGUGAUAUAGUUUUAUGUGUUGCACGGUUUUUUGUUUUGCAAGUGGCUAAUACGUAGUUAUGUACCCUUUGCAUUGUGGUUCAUGUAGAAUGAUGAGUUGGUCUUGUAAGAAAGAAGAGAUGAAAAUGCCAUCACAUUUUCCUUUUCAGUAUUAUUCAAUAUAUUUUUCUUGCCUGGAAUCUGACAGUUUAACAUGUUUUUGCAGUUUCUUUGGCAUCAGAUGUUUUUGCAGUUUCUUUGGCAUCAGAUUUUUUUGGUAGGAAUUGAUAACAAUCCGAUAGCAGCAGGAAUCGAGGAAAAAUCCUCUGUAGGGUCUCUUAUCUAACUGGUAGCCCUUAUCUAAAAUCUCUGAUAAUGGAUCUCUUUGCCCAGUUGGCAUAUUUGGUUACUGUACAUUUCUAUUAUUUUUGCUAGAGAACAG
rnacentral:lncRNA from 1 species